GAUGAACGCUGGCGGCGUGCCUAAUACAUGCAAGUAGAACGCUGAAGGAAGGAGCUUGCUCUUUCCGGAUGAGUUGCGAACGGGUGAGUAACGCGUAGGUAACCUGCCUGGUAGCGGGGGAUAACUAUUGGAAACGAUAGCUAAUACCGCAUAACAGUAGAUGUUGCAUGAUAUCUACUUAAAAGGUGCAAUUGCACCACUACCAGAUGGACCUGCGUUGUAUUAGCUAGUUGGUGAGGUAACGGCUCACCAAGGCGACGAUACAUAGCCGACCUGAGAGGGUGAUCGGCCACACUGGGACUGAGACACGGCCCAGACUCCUACGGGAGGCAGCAGUAGGGAAUCUUCGGCAAUAGACGGAAGUCUGACCGAGCAACGCCGCGUGAGUGAAGAAGGUUUUCGGAUCGUAAAGCUCUGUUGUAAGAGAAGAACGAGUGUGAGAGUGGAAAGUUCACACUGUGACGGUAUCUUAACAGAAAGGGACGGCUAACUACGUG
rnacentral:rRNA from 1 species